AGAAAAACGUUUGAAUAAUGUUCGCAUCUGAACUUGAGGUUAAUCGAAGAAAUUGGAAAACAGCGGGAAGGGGACUCGGAAGCAUUUCCGAUUCAACUCGGCGUCCACAGGGCGGCGAGUCGUCGGAAGCAAGGCUAAUUCGAACUGUGAGCUCAACGGAAAGCGAUUUGAGAUUCAUCUUCAGACCCAACUGCGAAGAACAUCUUCAUUUAAUUCUAGGUUUGUUUGAGAAAUCGAAUAAUGGAGGAGGAAGAUUGUUUGAUCUCCAAAGCAGUGGCAGUGACGGCCUGCACUGCUAUGGCUCUGUUCUACGUUGCCAUUCUCUAUGCUCCUGCUUUGUUACUUCGUCUACCACCUCCUCCUUCUCUUCAAGUUUACAUGAUUCGACGGUUCCUGUGCGCCUUCAUUUCCACCGCCGUUUCGAUCUUCGUCUGCGCUCUAAUCCUUCCUAUAAAGAAAAUGGAGUUAUCACUGUUAUUGGCAGCUUAUGGUGUCCGAGCAGAUCAUAUUUGGCAAGCUGUGUUCUUUCCUCUUUCAUUGACUUCUUUUAUGUACGUUGGAUCAAUGGUCUUAAAGUCUUUGUUAUUGGUGGAUUCAUGGAGAGAACAUAUGAAUCAUGGAGGAGACUCCCUUUUGAACUGUGCCAGAAUGUUGUGGACAAGAGUUCUUGAUUGGGGGCUGUCAACUGUCUCAAAUAUUUUAGCUUGGAGAAAUUAUGUUGUGGCUCCACUAACUGAGGAGUUGGUGUUUAGAGCGUGCAUGAUACCAAUUCUUCUAUCUGGGGGAUUUAAGCCGAUCACUGUGAUAUUUCUCUGCCCCAUUCUUUUCAGUCUGGCGCAUUUAAACCACUUUAUGGAGUACUAUAGCAAGCAGAACAAUAACCUAACCAAAGCGGUUAUGGUUGUAGGUCUCCAGCUUGGGUAUACUGUGGUAUUUGGAUCAUACGCGAGUUUUCUCUUUGUGCGAACUGGCCAUCUUCUUGCUCCAUUAGUUGCUCACGUUUUUUGCAACUUUAUGGGCUUACCUGCUCUUUUUUCUCGAGGAAGAGGGGUGGUGAGUCUGGCAUUUCUAGUUGGAAUGGUGGGAUUCCUAUGGCUUCUUUUUCCCAUGACAAGUCCACAUUUGUUUAAUGAGAGAACAAAUAACUGCAGAUGUUGGCAAGGAUAUUGUUCUUGGACCUAGACUCUGAAAAAAAAAUAUUGAAAGAAAAUAAUCUUACUGUAGCUUAGAAAGAGAGAGAAGCAGAAGAAGAUAUGUUAGAUUAUUCUUCUGUAUAGAGGUGUUAGGCAGCGAAGGAUGUUGUUUUGGACCAAAGCAAGAAAAAAGGUUUGCGUACUGAACCAGUCUCCAUUCAUCUUCUGAAACCCUUCCACUCUUGUAGAUAUUGUAAUGAUGGCCUCAAAUCCGUAGGGUAGCCUCCAAAUUGUUGAUCUUACCUCCCAUUAACUUAUCUAUAUCUUGUUUAAGUUUAACCUCCUCCCUUUAAGCAGCAACAAUUUCCAUUGAAAUUUCAUGGAAAUUCCCCACCUCCACACACACAUUAUCCUUAGAACUCAACGACACAGUUUGACGACCUUUAGAUUAUAAGAUUUUCAAGUUCUUUUUUCAUA